rnacentral:rRNA from 1 species
GACGAGCGCUGGCGGCGUGCUUAACACAUGCAAGUCGAACGAAGAGCGAUGGACGCUUGCUUCUAUCAAUCUUAGUGGCGAACGGGUGAGUAACGCGUAAUCAACCUGCCCUUCAGAGGGGGACAACAGUUGGAAACGACUGCUAAUACCGCAUACGAUCUAAUCUCGGCAUCGAGGAUAGAUGAAAGGUGGCCUCUACAUGUAAGCUAUCACUGAAGGAGGGGAUUGCGUCUGAUUAGCUAGUUGGAGGGGUAACGGCCCACCAAGGCGAUGAUCAGUAGCCGGUCUGAGAGGAUGAACGGCCACAUUGGGACUGAGACACGGCCCAGACUCCUACGGGAGGCAGCAGUGGGGAAUCUUCCGCAAUGGACGAAAGUCUGACGGAGCAACGCCGCGUGAGUGAUGACGGCCUUCGGGUUGUAAAGCUCUGUUAAUCGGGACGAAAGGCCUUCUUGCGAAUAGUGAGAAGGAUUGACGGUACCGGAAUAGAAAGCCACGGCUAACUACGUG